AUUUUAUUUUAUCCACAUCAGCGUAAUACAGUGUCAGCUGAAGAAGUGUACAUGAGGUUAUUCUAACAAAGGAAGUGGUGUCUCUCUUAACAGCAGCUGUUCCUGUUCAACUAUGAUAUAUAAAUAUAAACAAACAAAGAAAUGUCAACAAUAAUUCUCUAUGUCAUGAAGACCAGGGUGUCUGCAGGGUUUUAACAACAAUACAAUCAGAAUUUUAGGCCUUAAAAUGUCUUAAGUGUGAUUGGAUGAUGAAGUCAAUGAUAUUUGUACAAAGUUGAAAUUUCAGUCUCACUUUUAGAUGUUUUUGGUGGAAAAUGUGUAUUGAUGAUGUAACAAUGUCACAAUGAACCAAUACAUAUCCAUAGUACUUUAUUGGCAGUGUGGACAUGAAUUAGGUUUUGAAUUGCAAACAUAAUGAUCUUAAAACCUGCAGAAACACUGAUAGUGACUGAAGUUGCAGCUGUAAAUCCACUAACAUCAGGUACAUUUUAAUGGUGUUAUUCUGGCUGUAAAACAACUUUUCCUUUUUGAUUUUUAAAGACAGACAUCAUUUUUCUGAAUCCUUUAAAUCAUUUAUUGCGGUAGCUGUAGAUUCUGUAAAUUAGUGCUGCACAGUUCAUUAAAUAUAUGUAGAAAUCACUUUCUCAUGUUAAGACUUUAAUUUGUCUCACACUUGUAGAUCUGCAGCGUCAGUGGAGGACAUCAUCUCCUCUGUCUUCUUUGUGGAAAACGUCCGCUGGUCCCAACGUCAUCAGCCGCUCACUGAAAGAGAGAGAGAGAGAAGUUAGUACAGACCGAGUCAACAGCAGUCCUCCUGUAACUCUGGACAUCAGCCUUCAACCUGGAAGAAAUUAACAUUUUAAAAGAUUGUCAGACAAUUGUCAAACCAGAGAAAGAUCAACUUUUAGAUGUAGGGUGAAUCUUUAAAAUAUCCUACCAGAGGAGAUGAUGUCCUCCACUGACGCUGCAGAUCUACGAGUGUGAGACAAAUUAAAGUCUUAACAACACAGCUGACAGAGAAAGUAAAAAUCAUACAACAAUAAUAAACAUUUAUAGGAUUGAGUUACAUUUCUAAUCAACCUGAAGACUCUUCCAUAGUUCCCACAGAGCCUCAGCAGCAGUCCUCCUGCAACAAUCAAACACAC
rnacentral:lncRNA from 15 species